AGGGAAUCCCAAGUGCGAGGGCAUAUUCGCCCUCGCUUUGUUGACCGUAAGGUGGUCAACGAAUAAGAGCUGGGCAAGACCGGUGCCAGCCGCCGCGGUAAUACCGGCAGCUCGAGUGAUGUCCAAUAUUAUUGGGCCUAAAGCGUCCGUAGCUGGCCGCGCAAGUCCGUCGGGAAAUCCACCUGCCCAACAGGUGGGCGUCCGGCGGAAACUGUGUGGCUUGGAACCGGAAGGCUCAGAGGGUACGUCCGGGGUAGGAGUGAAAUCCCGUAAUCCCGGACGGACCACCGAUGGCGAAAGCACUCUGAGAAGACGGCUUCGACAGUGAGGGACGAAAGCUAGGGUCUCAAAACGGAUUAGAUACCCGGGUAGUCCUAGCUGUAAACCGAUGCUCGUU
rnacentral:rRNA from 1 species